rnacentral:rRNA from 1 species
AUGGAAUUGCAGGAGCUCAAGCCUGCCAUCGGCCGUCCGCGACCUCCGCCUCCCGUCAGACUCCACCAUGCCGACGAGCUCCAGCAGGUCCCCAGCACCGCUCCACCUUGUCUCCAACUCCAGUCAUGGCCUCGCCCCGCUUGCUGCUUCUCCUUCCCGUUUGCUUCCUCUGCAUCAGGCCAGCGCCUCGACGAGAACCCCGCCCUUGCCUUGUCUUGGCCGGUGGAUCCGAACGCCCAAGACCGUGCCGCCCGGAUUCAUGCAGCUCCGCCGCCCCUUCUCCGGCCCCUGCCCGCUGGAGCCGCGUCUCCCUGUGCCCCUGCCGCCGACCUCUGCUUCCUCUUCUUUGAGAAGGAGUGCUCGUCCAAGUCCUGUGCUGCCUCUGUUCAAGAGGAGGACGACGGGUUCGACGCCCGCGUUGACUGUGCCACGUCCACAAGCGUUCGUCUGGUGGGCUCCAAGGCCCAGCUGUGCGCCCCUGCCGGCCUCCCUCCUCCACCGAACGGGACGAGGCCCAUGGUGAGCCUCCAGCGCCCCUGCAACUGUUGGGGCAGGCUGCAAAUUUGGCCCGGUGUAGUUUUUUUCCGUGUCCGUGAUUUUUUCUAUUAUUCCAGUGUUUUGCAAUUUUGCAAAAAAGUCCCCCUAGAUCAUGCACUCAAUAACUCACAAAUGGUGCAACGGAUUAAAAUGAUUUAUAUAUUAAAAAUGACUAGAAUUUCAUAUAGUUUCAUAAUCUCCAACUUUCAUGCAUGUUUAAAAUGUUUAAAAUGCUGUUUGUUUAAAUUUGCUUAA